AGGAAGGGAACCCGGUGAACUGAAACAUCUAAGUAGCCGGAGGAAGAGAAAACAACAUGUGAUUCUGUGAGUAGCGGCGAGCGAAAACGGAAGAGCCCAAACCAGCGUGCGUGCAUGCUGGGGUUCGGACCGCGGAAUUGAUUCAACGAGUUUAGCAGAACGGUUUUGGGAAAGCCGGCCAGAGAGGGUGAAAGCCCCGUAAGCGAAAGACGAGUUGACAUGGCGGGAUCCAGAGUACCACGAGACACGUGGAACCUUGUGGGAAGAUGCGGGGACCACCCCGUAAGGCUAAAUACUACUUAGUGACCGAUAGCGCAUAGUACUGUGAAGGAAAGGUGAAAAGGACCCCGGGAGGGGAGUGAAAAAGAACCUGAAACCAUAUGUUUACAAGCUGUGGAAGAGCUUUAUAUGCUCAACCGCGUACUUUUUGUAGAACGGUCCGGCGAGUUACGCUGGCUGGCGAGGUUAAGGACUAAAGGUCCGGAGCCGAAGGGAAACCAAGUCUGAAUAGGGCGCAUAGUCAGUCGGAGUAGACCCGAAACCGGGUGAUCUAUCCAUGUCCAGGUUGAAGUUGCCGUAAAAGGCAAUGGAGGACCGAACCCACAUCCGUUGAAAAGGGUGGGGAUGAGGUGUGGAUAGGGGAGAAAUUCCAAUCGAACCCGGAGAUAGCUGGUUCUCCUCGAAAUAGCUUUAGGGCUAGCCUCAUACGAGUCUUGCGGAGGUAGAGCACUGAAUUCCUAAGGGGGCGUCAAAGCUUACUAAGGGAUAUCAAACUCCGAAUGCCGUGUAGAUGAUGUAUGGGAGUCAGACGAUCCGAGAUAAGUUGGGUGGUCAAAAGGGAAAGAGCCCAGACCAACAGCUAAGGCCCCAAAAUGUGUGUUAAGUGGAAAAGGAUGUGGGAUUUCGAAGACAACUAGGAUGUUGGCUCAGAAGCAGCCAUUCAUUCAAAGAGUGCGUAAUAGCUCACUAGUCGAGAGGUCCUGCGCCGAAAAUGUCCGGGGCUAAAACACACUGCCGAAGCUUUGGAAUUGAGAAUUCAAUUGGUAGAGGAGCAUUCUUAAAGGGACGAAGCAGUACCGUAAGGAGCUGUGGACUUUUAAGAAGAGAGAAUGCCGGAAUGAGUAGCGAGAGGAAGGUGGGAAUCCUUCCGGCCGAAUAUCUAAGGUUUCCAGAGUAAAGCUGAUCUGCUCUGGGUAAGUCGGGGCCUAAGGCGAGGUCGAAAGACGUAGUCGAUGGAUAACAGGUUGAAAUUCCUGUACUAUCCUGUAACAGAACUGUGGGGACACAGGCAGAGAGCGUGAGCCGGGAAUGGAAAGACCGGUACAAGCGAGGUAGGAGUCUGGUUGGCAAAUCCGCCAGGCAAUCUGAAGACGUGAUGUGGACUGAAAAUAAGUAGGGAAGCACGUGAGCUGACUGUCAAGAAAAGCCGCUAUUGUUUGCAGGAUACCCGUACCGUAAACCGACACAGGUGGAUGAGGAGAGAAUCCUAAGGCCGACGGGAGAAGCAUUGUUAAGGAACUCGGCAAAAUGACUCCGUAACUUCGGGAGAAGGAGUGCCAGUAAGAUGGCCGCAGAGAAUUGGCCCAAGCAACUGUUUAGCAAAAACACAGGUCUAUGCAAAACCGAAAGGUGAGGUAUAUGGGCUGACGCCUGCCCGGUGCUGGAAGGUUAAGGGGAGAGGUUAGCGCAAGCGAAGCUUUGAACUUAAGCCCCAGUAAACGGCGGCCGUAACUAUAACGGUCCUAAGGUAGCGAAAUUCCUUGUCGGGUAAGUUCCGACCCGCACGAAAGGCGUAAUGAUUUGGGCACUGUCUCAACAAUGCACCCGGUGAAAUUGAAAUACCAGUGAAGAUGCUGGUUACCUGCGCCAGGACGGAAAGACCCCAUGGAGCUUUACUCCAGCUUGAUACUGGGAUUCGGUAUUGCAUGUACAGGAUAGGUGGGAGGCUAGGAAAUGGUAACGCCAGUUGCCAUGGAGCCGCUGUUGGGAUACCACCCUUGCAGUACUGGGUUUCUAACCAGCAGCCGUGAUCCGGCUGGGGGACAAUGUCAGGUGGGGAGUUUGACUGGGGCGGUCGCCUCCGAAAGGGUAUCGGAGGCGCUCAAAGGUUCCCUCAGAAUGGUUGGAAACCAUUCGAAGAGUGCAAAGGCAGAAGGGAGCUUGACUGCGACACCGACGGGUGGAGCAGGUACGAAAGUAGGACUUAGUGAUCCGGUGGUAUA
rnacentral:rRNA from 1 species